UCCGACUGGAUACGGCGGAUCGCUGGGGGCCUGAGGGUGGAGUCCCGGCCGGAGGCAGGCCGGGACUCUGGCGGGUCUAGGCGCGGCUAGGACGCGAGCUGGUCGUCGGCGACGGCAGGAGAGCGGCUGGGCGUCAGCAACUCGACCCCCGUGCCGGGCUAGUCCAGCGAGGCGGACGGGCGGCGCAGGCCCAUGGCCAGGCCCGGCAUGGAGCGGUGGCGCGACCGGCUGGCGCUGGUGACGGGGGCCUCGGGGGGCAUCGGCGCGGCCGUGGCCCGGGCCCUGGUCCAGCAGGGACUGAAGGUGGUGGGCUGCGCUCGCACCGUGGGCAACAUCGAGGAGCUGGCUGCUGAAUGUAAGAGUGCAGGCUACCCCGGGACUUUGAUCCCCUACAGAUGUGACCUAUCAAAUGAAGAGGACAUCCUCUCCAUGUUCUCAGCUAUUCGUUCUCAGCACAGCGGUGUAGACAUCUGCAUCAACAAUGCCGGCUUGGCCCGGCCUGACACCCUGCUCUCAGGCAGCACCAGCGGUUGGAAGGACAUGUUCAAUGUGAACGUGCUGGCCCUCAGCAUCUGCACACGGGAAGCCUACCAGUCCAUGAAGGAGCGGAAUGUGGACGAUGGUCACAUCAUUAACAUCAAUAGCAUGUCUGGCCACCGAGUGUUACCCCUGUCUGUGACCCACUUCUAUAGUGCCACCAAGUAUGCCGUCACUGCGCUGACAGAGGGACUGAGGCAAGAGCUUCGGGAGGCCCAGACCCACAUCCGAGCCACGGCCUGGCAAAGCUCAGCCCCUGAGAAGGCCCUCUCUGUUGGCCCAGUGCAUCUCUCCAGGUGUGGUGGAGACACAAUUCGCCUUCAAACUCCACGACAAGGACCCUGAGAAGGCAGCUGCCGCCUAUGAGCAAAUGAAGUGUCUGAAACCCGAGGAUGUGGCCGAGGCUGUUAUCUACGUCCUCAGCACCCCCGCACACAUCCAGAUUGGAGACAUCCAGAUGAGGCCCACGGAGCAGGUGACCUAGUGACUGUGGGAGCUCCUCCUUCCCUCCCCACCCUUCAUGGCUUGCCUCCUGCCUCUGGAUUUUAGGUGUUGAUUUCUGGAUCACUAGAUACCACUUCCUGUCCACACCCCGACCAGGGGCUAGAAAAUUUGAGAUUUUUAUAUCAUCUUGUCAAAUAGUUCGGUUGUAAAUGUGAAAAAUGGGCUGGGGAAAGGAGGUGAUGUCCCUAAUUGUUUUACUUGUUAACUUGUUCUUGUGCCCCGGGCACCUUGGCCUUUGUCUGCUCUCAGUCUCUUCCCUUUGACAUGGGAAAGGAGUUGUGGCCAAAAUCCCCCCCCCCCCAUCUUCUUGCACCUCAACGUCUGUGGCUCAGGGCUGGGGUGGCAGAGGGAGGCCCUCACCUUAUAUCUGUGUGGUUAUCCAGGGCUCCAGACUUCCUCCUCUGCCUGCCACUGCACCCUCUCCCCUUUAUCUUUCUCCUUCUCGGCUCCCCAGCCCAGUCUUGGCUUCUUGUCCCCUCGUGGGGUCAUCCCUCCACUCUGACUAUGGCAGCAGAACACCAGGGCCUGGCCCGGUGGAUUUCAUGGUGAUCAUUAAAAAAGAAAAAUCGCAACCAA